rnacentral:rRNA from 1 species
UUUAUGGAGAGUUUGAUCCUGGCUCAGGAUGAACGCUGGCGGCGUGCCUAAUACAUGCAAGUCGAGCGAACGGACGAGAAGCUUGCUUCUCUGAUGUUAGCGGCGGACGGGUGAGUAACACGUGGAUAACCUACCUAUAAGACUGGGAUAACUUCGGGAAACCGGAGCUAAUACCGGAUAAUAUUUUGAACCGCAUGGUUCAAAAGUGAAAGACGGUCUUGCUGUCACUUAUAGAUGGAUCCGCGCUGCAUUAGCUAGUUGGUAAGGUAACGGCUUACCAAGGCAACGAUGCAUAGCCGACCUGAGAGGGUGAUCGGCCACACUGGAACUGAGACACGGUCCAGACUCCUACGGGAGGCAGCAGUAGGGAAUCUUCCGCAAUGGGCGAAAGCCUGACGGAGCAACGCCGCGUGAGUGAUGAAGGUCUUCGGAUCGUAAAACUCUGUUAUUAGGGAAGAACAUA